GUGGGGAAUUUUGGACAAUGGGCGCAAGCCUGAUCCAGCAAUGCCGCGUGCAGGAAGAAGGCCUUCGGGUUGUAAACUGCUUUUGUACGGAACGAAAAGGCUCUGGUUAAUACCUGGGGCUCAUGACGGUACCGUAAGAAUAAGCACCGGCUAACUACGUGCCAGCAGCCGCGGUAAUACGUAGGGUGCAAGCGUUAAUCGGAAUUACUGGGCGUAAAGCGUGCGCAGGCGGUUUUGUAAGACAGGCGUGAAAGCCCCGGGCUCAACCUGGGAAUGGCGCUUGUGACUGCAAGGCUGGAGUGCGGCAGAGGGGGAUGGAAUUCCGCGUGUAGCAGUGAAAUGCGUAGAUAUGCGGAGGAACACCGAUGGCGAAGGCAAUCCCCUGGGCCUGCACUGACGCUCAUGCACGAAAGCGUGGGGAUCAAACAGGAUUAGAAACCCGUGUAGUCC
rnacentral:rRNA from 1 species